rnacentral:rRNA from 1 species
AGGACGAACGCUGGCGGCGCGCUUAACACAUGCAAGUCGAGCGAGAACCGGGGCUUCGGCCCCGGGGACAGCGGCGAACGGGUGAGUAACACGUGGAUAACCUGCCCUCGGCACCGGGAUAGGCCCGGGGAAACCCGGAUUAAUACCGGAUGGCCCUUCCGACUUUCGAGUCGGUCGGCAAAGGUAGCUUCGGCCUCCGGCCGAGGAUGGGUCCGCGGCGGAUUAGCUUGUGGUGGGUAAUGGCCUACAGGCUCCGAUCCGUAGCUGGUCUGAGAGGACGAUCAGCCACACUGGGACUGAGACACGGCCCAGACUCCGUACGGGAGCAGCAGUGGGGAAUCUUGCGCAAGUGGGACGAAAGCCUGACGCAGCGACGCCGCGUGGACGGGACGACGGCCUUACGGGUUCGUAAACCUCGUUUCGAGGGACGGGACGAAGCUACGUACGGUUAAUACGCCAGGAGGUAGACGGUACCGUACGAAGGAACGAACGGACCCCGCGUAACCGUACGUCGACC